CGGACGACAGAAGCUGACGACCGUUAAGGCAAGAGAGAAAGCAAAUGAGGAUUCACGGUAAUUCAGAAGUGUUUAUGAGAAAACCCGGUGCCAAGUGUUCCCAGAAUACACUGCAGAUCCUCUGGACCAGUAAAAGCAUUUACUGAAGAUGAAUGAUUUAGGUUCUUGAGCUGCACUGUGGGUGUUUUUCCUGUAUUGACGUGAUUUAAUUGUUAUUGCCCCUUGGUGAAAGAUGUGUGAAGCCCUGCAAAAGAUUGGUGCCUUAUCCGAGACGAAUUUCUUUCUGUGCUGACUAUAAACCUGACCAGAAGUUUGAAGCAAGCCAUCAAAAAUCAGGCAUCACCGCUUACCUGUUCAGGUGCAUUAACCUCUACACCCUCCAGAGGGGGACAUUGGAGUUAUUAUACAGCGUUGGCACAAGAACUGUCCAUCAGAAGCUUAACAGAAUGGCUGUCAGUGGCUGUGCAGCCUCUCAAAAUCUGCAGAUCAUCAUGGUCAAUGUCAAGCAUCAGCUGGAGUGGUGUAAAGUACCCACAACUGCACUCUGUGGCAGUGGAAACACUUUUACCUGUGGUAAACCAUACUUCAUCUGGGAGGCUGACAAACAAGAAGGAUUCCAUCUGAAUGAAUAGCACCACGUAUGAUGGAGGAGGAAUAAUGGUCUCGACUUUCAGUUUGAGUAAUGGUAUAAAUAGAUUUCACAGAGGUUUGACCCUAAACCCCUUACGUCCUAACAUCUUUUGAAUAGGUGUGCUGACUGACAGCUAAGCCUAUAUACUGCACAUAUUAGUGUCCUGUUAUUGUUUUAGUUGCUAAUAAGCAAAUAAAGCUAAUGACUUCUGUGCUGGUCUAAAACUU